UACGAAGGGGGCUAGCGUUGUUCGGAUUUACUGGGCGUAAAGCGCACGUAGGCGGAUUGGUCAGUUAGGGGUGAAAUCCUGGAGCUCAACUCCAGAACUGCCUUUAAUACUGCCAGUCUCGAGUCCGGAAGAGGUAAGUGGAACUCCUAGUGUAGAGGUGAAAUUCGUAGAUAUUCGGAAGAACACCAGUGGCGAAGGCGGCUCACUGGCCCGGUACUGACGCUGAGGUGCGAAAGCGUGGGGAGCAAACAGG
rnacentral:rRNA from 1 species